rnacentral:siRNA from 1 species
AUAUUUGGGUUGUAUCUUUUCA